rnacentral:rRNA from 1 species
UACAGAGGUCUCAAGCGUUGUUCGGAUUCAUUGGGCGUAAAGGGUGCGUAGGUGGUGGGGUAAGUCGGAUGUGAAAUCCCGGGGCUCAACCCCGGAACUGCAUUCGAUACUGCCUUGCUCGAGUACCGGAGAGGAGACUGGAAUUUAUGGUGUAGCAGUGAAAUGCGUAGAUAUCGUAAGGAAGACCAGUGGCGAAGGCGAGUCUCUGGACAGUUACUGACACUGAGGCACGAAGGCCAGGGGAGCAAACGGG